AUGGACGUUAAGACAACUUUCCUCAAUGGAGAGUUGAAGGAGGAAAUUUACAUGGAUCAGCCAAAUGGUUUUGUAGUACCUAGUCAGGAAGGAAAGGUGUGCAAGUUAUUAAAGUCUUUAUAUGGCCUUAAACAAGCUCCUAAGGAGUGGCAUGAGAAGUUCGAAAGAAUAUUAACUGCUGCCGGCUUUGUAGUAAACGAUGGUGACAAGUGCGUGUACUAUCGCUAUGGUGGAGGCGAAGGAGUUAUUCUUUAUCUGUAUGUCGAUGACAUACUGAUCUUUGGAACCAAACUUGGAUCUAGGAGUAGCUGA
rnacentral:rRNA from 1 species